rnacentral:misc_RNA from 1 species
UACGGAGGGUGCAAGCGUUGUUCGGAAUCAUUGGGCGUAAAGCGUGCGUAGGCGGCCGCACAAGUCGGGUGUGAAAUCCCAGGGCUCAACCCUGGACGUGCGCUCGAAACUGUGUGGCUUGAAUCCGGGAGAGGGUCGCGGAAUUGUCGGUGUAGAGGUGAAAUUCGUAGAUAUCGGCAAGAACACCAGUGGCGAAGGCGGCGACCUGGACCGAGAUUGACGCUGAUGCACGAAAGCGUGGGGAGCAAACAGG